rnacentral:rRNA from 1 species
UCUGACGACCAUAGCUUUUUGGAACCACCCCUUCCCAUCCCGAACAAGACCGUGUAACAAGUCCGCACCGAUCAUAGUGAGGCCCGCCCUCGUGAAAGUAGGUCAUCGUCAGAC